AGUGAACGCUGGCGGUAGGCCUAACACAUGCAAGUCGAACGGCAGCACAGUAAGAGCUUGCCCUUACGGGUGGCGAGUGGAGGACGGGUGAGGAAUACAUCGGAAUCUACUUUUUCGCGGGGGAUAACGUAGGGAAACUUACGCUAAUACGGCAUACGGCAUACGGGUGAAAGCAGGGGAUCAUCGGACCUUGUGCGUAUGAAUGAGCCGUUGGCGGAUUAGCUAGUUGGCGGGGUAAAGGCCCACCAAGGCGACGAUCCGUAGCUGGUCUGAGAGGAUGAUCGGCCACACUGGAACUGAGACACGGUCCAGACUCCUACGGGAGGCAGCAGUGGGGAACAUUGGGCAAUGGGCGAAAGCCUGACCCAGCCAUGCCGCGUGAGUGAAGAAGGACUUCGGUUUGUAAAGCCCUGUUGUUAGGAAAGAAAAGCUGCAGAUUAAUACCCCGCUGUAGUGACGGUACCUAAAGAGUAAGCACCGGCUAACUUCGUG
rnacentral:rRNA from 1 species